GCCCCCGUGGUGUAGUGGUUAGCGCGUGGCUCUUAUAUUUUCAGAAUGACUGGAGAUAUGCCAAGAUCGCCAGUUCGAUCCUGGCCGGGGGCA